AGCAAGGUGGUUUAAGGGCAGAGCCUUGGCCUAAAAUUCUAGAUAGCUGGGUUGGAUUCCCAGCUCUGCUA
rfam:Alligator sinensis unplaced genomic scaffold scaffold241_1, whole genome shotgun sequence